rnacentral:rRNA from 1 species
AAAUUGAAGAGUUUGAUCAUGGCUCAGAUUGAACGCUGGCGGCAGGCCUAACACAUGCAAGUCGAGCGGUAGCACAGAGAGCUUGCUCUCGGGUGACGAGCGGCGGACGGGUGAGUAAUGUCUGGGAAACUGCCUGAUGGAGGGGGAUAACUACUGGAAACGGUAGCUAAUACCGCAUAAUGUCGCAAGACCAAAGUGGGGGACCUUCGGGCCUCAUGCCAUCAGAUGUGCCCAGAUGGGAUUAGCUUGUAGGUGGGGUAACGGCUCACCUAGGCGACGAUCCCUAGCUGGUCUGAGAGGAUGACCAGCCACACUGGAACUGAGACACGGUCCAGACUCCUACGGGAGGCAGCAGUGGGGAAUAUUGCACAAUGGGCGCAAGCCUGAUGCAGCCAUGCCGCGUGUGUGAAGAAGGCCUUCGGGUUGUAAAGCACUUUCAGCGGGGAGGAAGGCGUUAAGGUUAAUAACCUUGGCGAUUGACGUUACCCGCAGAAGAAGCACCGGCUAACUCCGUGCCAGCAGCCGCGGUAAUACGGAGGGUGCAAGCGUUAAUCGGAAUUACUGGGCGUAAAGCGCACGCAGGCGGUCUGUCAAGUCGGAUGUGAAAUCCCCGGGCUCAACCUGGGAACUGCAUUCGAAACUGGCAGGCUAGAGUCUUGUAGAGGGGGGUAGAAUUCCAGGUGUAGCGGUGAAAUGCGUAGAGAUCUGGAGGAAUACCGGUGGCGAAGGCGGCCCCCUGGACAAAGACUGACGCUCAGGUGCGAAAGCGUGGGGAGCAAACAGGAUUAGAUACCCUGGUAGUCCACGCCGUAAACGAUGUCGAUUUGGAGGUUGUGCCCUUGAGGCGUGGCUUCCGGAGCUAACGCGUUAAAUCGACCGCCUGGGGAGUACGGCCGCAAGGUUAAAACUCAAAUGAAUUGACGGGGGCCCGCACAAGCGGUGGAGCAUGUGGUUUAAUUCGAUGCAACGCGAAGAACCUUACCUGGUCUUGACAUCCACAGAACUUAGCAGAGAUGCUUUGGUGCCUUCGGGAACUGUGAGACAGGUGCUGCAUGGCUGUCGUCAGCUCGUGUUGUGAAAUGUUGGGUUAAGUCCCGCAACGAGCGCAACCCUUAUCCUUUGUUGCCAGCGGUCCGGCCGGGAACUCAAAGGAGACUGCCAGUGAUAAACUGGAGGAAGGUGGGGAUGACGUCAAGUCAUCAUGGCCCUUACGACCAGGGCUACACACGUGCUACAAUGGCAUAUACAAAGAGAAGCGACCUCGCGAGAGCAAGCGGACCUCAUAAAGUAUGUCGUAGUCCGGAUUGGAGUCUGCAACUCGACUCCAUGAAGUCGGAAUCGCUAGUAAUCGUAGAUCAGAAUGCUACGGUGAAUACGUUCCCGGGCCUUGUACACACCGCCCGUCACACCAUGGGAGUGGGUUGCAAAAGAAGUAGGUAGCUUAACCUUCGGGAGGGCGCUUACCACUUUGUGAUUCAUGACUGGGGUGAAGUCGUAACAAGGUAACCGUAGGGGAACCUGCGGUUGGAUCACCUCCUUACCUUAAAGAA